GCGCUCAGUGUUAUCGUAAACAUGUCUUCAAUUUUACCUUAUCAAUUUGAGCCGGAAUCAGACCCGGAGAACAUAGAUGAAGAGGAUCGAGUAGAACCUGUGCAAACACGUCUUUUGCAGGAUGUCACAAUGGUGUACAUGUGGUAAUUGUGACAAAAUGCCAACGGAGGAAAACAUCUGCUGCAAAGAAAUACAAAAAGUACUGUAACACCUCCUAAUUUAAUAAUUUUUUGUUGUGUAUAGUUCAUUUGAAAUUGUUUUCAUCCAAACAACUUUAUAUAAAUACACUUUAUUUUCACCAUAAAUAUAGCCUUAAAAGCUGCCAUGUUGCGUAAAAGAAAUCGUUGCCAUGUAUUAAAAUAAUUUAUUUAUUAAAAGUUGAAUUUUACGUGACUGCACAUUAAAUUAUUAAUGCCUCACAUCAAUGUAUAGGUUUGUCGACGAAUGAUGCAGAUUGCAGACCCUCCUACAUGUAUGGUUCAUCACCCCGGCUUUGAAGCAAACUGCUUAAACCCAUAUGCCUUACAAAACAUAAACAAUAUUUACAGAGCUGACUACGGACAAGUGAGGAGAAGAACUGAAGAAGAGCGUUUCCGUUAUGUGGCAUAUCGCAGUUUUGUCAGCUGGUGCUGGGGCUACUUAGGACGGCAUGUGAGGGUCGUCAUCCCGUCUUGUGUAGUUCACCGGAUACGCCAGGAGUUUCCUGAUCCAGCUGGACAGUACGUUGGA